AUGUGUAGAUGGACAAUUCCAGUGCAGGACAUGUGUAGAGGGAUAAUUCCAGUGCAGUACAUGUGUAAGGGGAUAAUUCCAGUGCAGUACAUGUUUGGAGGGAUAAUUCCAGUACAGGACAUGUGUAGAGGGAUAAUUCCAGUACAGUACAUGUGUAGAGGGUGUAGAGGGAUAAUUCCAGUGCAGUACAUGUGUAGAGGGAUAAUUCCAGUGCAGUACAUGUGUAAAGGCUGUGGAGGGAAAAUUCCAGUGCAGUACAUGUGUAAAGGGUGUAGAGGUAUAAUUCCAGUACAGUACAUGUGUAAGGGGAUAAUUACAGUACAUGUGUAGAGGGAUAAUUCCAGUGCAGUACAGUGCAUUUGUAGAGGGAUAAUUCCAGUACAGUACAUGUGUAGAUGGACAAUUCCAGUGCAGGACAUGUGUAGAGGGAUAAUUCCAGUGCAGUACAUGUGUAAGGGGAUAAUUCCAGUGCAGUACAUGUUUGGAGGGAUAAUUCCAGUACAGGACAUGUGUAGAGGGAUAAUUCCAGUACAGUACAUGUGUAGAGGGAUAAUUCCAGUGCAGUACAUGUUUGGAGGGAUAAUUCCAGUGCAGUACAUGUGCAGAGGGAUAAUUCAUAAUUCUCUCGGAUUCUAACAUGCAAGCUUCUGCAUGUCAUCUAUAGCCGACACCUUUCACAGAACAGUUCACAGAAUUGUCCAUUGAAAUACAUUUUCACAAUUUAAUCAUUGCUACCUUAAGGCCUGAUUGGUGGAGUGCUGCAGAGAUGGUUGUCCUUCUGGAAGGUUCUCCCAUCUCCACAGAGGAACUCUGGAGCUCUGUCAGAGUGAACAUCGGUGUCACAAUUCAUGUGUAUAGGUGGCAGGGAAGUCAGGCACAGGAGAAUUCAACUUGGUAAAAUGGAGUAAUUUAAUAAAACAAAACAUAACUCCAAAACCAUAAAUACAAAAUGAAACAAAUUGUGUAUGAGGACUCGUCGCGCACCAAAUACAAACAACACGACACUGAACAUAAAACAAUCUCUGACAAAGACAUGAUGGGAAGCCUAGUGGCAGGGUAGCCUAGUGGUUAGAGCGUUGGACUAGUAACCGGAAGGUUGCAAGUUCAAACCCCCGAGCUGACAAGGUACAAAUCUGUCGUUCUGCCCCUGAACAGGCAGUUAACCCACUGUUCCUAGGCCGUCAUUGAAAAUAAGAAUUUGUUCUUAACUGACUUGCCUUUUCGCAGUGCCUUGCGAAAGUAUUCGGCCCCCUUAAACUUUGCGACCUUUUGCCACAUUUCAGGCUUCAAACAUAAAGAUAUAAAACUGUAUUUUUUUGUGAAGAAUCAACAACAAGUGGGACACAAUCAUGAAGUAGAACGACAUUUAUUGGAUAUUUCAAACUUUUUUAACAAAUCAAAAACUGAAAAAUUGGGCGUGCAAAAUUAUUCAGCCCCCUUUACUUUCAGUGCAGCAAACUCUCUCCAGAAGUUCAGUGAGGAUCUCUGAAUGAUCCAAUGUUGACCAAAAUGACUAAUGAUGAUAAAUACAAUGCACCUGUGUGUAAUCAAGUCUCCGAAUAAAUGCACCUGCACUGUGAUAGUCUCAGAGGUCCGUUAAAAGCUCAGAGAGCAUCAUGAAGAACAAGGAACACACCAGGCAGGUCCGAGAUACUGUUGUGAAGACGUUUAAAGCCGGAUUUGGAUAAAAAAUAUUUUCCAAGCUUUAAACAUCCCAAGGAGCACUGUGCAAGCGAUAAUAUUGAAAUGGAAGGAGUAUCAGACCACUGCAAAUCUACCAAGACCUGGCCGUCCCUCUAAACUUUCAGCUCAUACAAGGAGAAGACUGAUCA
ensembl:lncRNA